AAUGUUGAGCCUGAAUAAAGGAGUAUCGUGAUAGGAUAAAAUAUGUAGAACACAAAUCUACCUUCAUUA
rnacentral:tRNA from 1 species